UUUAACUUGAAAUAUAAGGACAGAGGUGGAAUCUUGAGUAUCCAAUCUACUAGUUUGAAGGAGCUUCUAUUUACAAGUUUAUAUGGGAUAGUGAAGAUUCAUCUGUGGCUUCGGAGCUGAGAAUCUGUACCCCAAAUCUUGAAACAUUAGAAAUUAAUGGACUUCCAUACAAGUAUUUGCUGACCGAUGUCUCAUCAUUGACACGUGCAGUUCUUGGUUCGAUGCAUUUAGACCAUAUGUCGAAGGUCGGGUUGCCAAACGCAUUGAGUCAGAUUCUUCCAAGCAUUCAACAUGUGGAAAACAUUGAAUUAUAAUACUGUUGCACCAAGGAGCUUGGAGCUUUGAAAAUGAAAUGUGCGAACUCAGCUUUUCAGAAUGUCAAAUCCUUAGAACUUACAUGUUGUUUGUAUGACUGCAAACAAGUAGUAGGUAUUCUAGAGAUCUUCCCUCAGUUGGAGAGAUUGGUCAUUGAUGAGAUUGAAGAAGCCUGGCUCCUUGAUGACACCGAGUCACUCAAGUUUGAGGAAAAUAUCCCCGAGUCCUUUCUUCUUCGGUUGAGGACAACAGAGGUUUCUUAUUGGUAUGAGGGCUAUGGCAUAUUUCCAUUGACUGAGAUUAUGUUAAAAUACGCAAGCAAGCUAGAAAAGUUUGUUUUCUAUUUAAAUGAAACCGAGUCACCUGCAGCAUCAGAUUCUUUGUUUUUGGUGUCACAGAAGCUGCUGGGGAUGUGGAGAUCUUCGACUAAUUGCACAUUUAAUCUCACCAAGUUAUACUGAACGCCUCAGCCAACUAACUGAUAGUCUUGUUCGACGUGUAAUUACUAGCUGUUGUCGUACAUUUUCUUUCAAAUAUCAAUGGCAACAGUAUGCUUCUCUGGGGAGGGAAGCUAGGUUUCCUUUUCUUUCGUUCGACUUGCUGUGCUGUGUCAAUUAUAGUUUCAUUUUGCGGAUUGUAUUUUCGUACUAUAUGCUUAUUCAGUGCUGUAGAGCAAUCUUACAUUGUUUGAGUAUGCUGAUGCCGUUUUCAUAUGUAGCACACUUGCUAACUUCCUUGUGUAACAAACGACAACUAAUGAUUAAACUUAGAUUGUCAUUUAUCUAGCUUUAAUGUCUGUUA